GUACUAAUUUUAAACAUCAACCAAACGAUAAUGUAGUAGUGUACUUGCGAUAUGCUUUAGGUCCUACCACGUGGAAGCUUAAUUAUAUCUCUACCUUACGAUUUACCAAUAAAAAAGCAGAGAGUCGUACAAAGUGGAACCCUCCAGAUAAGUCAGAGGAUUACCAAUACAAGCUAACGGUUGUACUCUCUGGUUUAGCCACAGAUUGAUCGCAGUACAAGACUUUGCAAAACAAGGGAGUACAAAUAUAUUUCUGGUGAAUUCUUGUGUAGUACAUCACAAAAGGCGUGUACAGCAACAUGAUUUCCAUAAUCUAUUUAAACCUAAGAAAUAAACACAAACUCAAACAAAAGUCUAGGAUCCUGGCCAAUUUCUAAGCUGAUGACAAGCUAUAAAGGGUUUGGUCUACCUUUGUGUCAGUCAUGAAGUGGAGCUGAAUGAAGCAAUUGCGUCCAUUUCUUGGCGUAAGAGAAGUGCAUCAAUGAACAUGUCCAGGUUCUCUCCCUGCAUCAUAUCUUCAAUGGCAUGGUGAGUGAUUCCCACACGGUGAUCCGUCACUCGCCCUUGUGGAAAAUUGUAUGUACGGAUUCGUCCAGAUCGAUCUCCGCUGCCAAUCUAUUAAUGAGAUUACGCAACGAUCAGCUAGGCAAGAAAGUGAUGUACGGUUGACCAGAAAAAUAAUAAAAAAGAUUGUUUAUUUCA